rnacentral:rRNA from 1 species
GAUGAACGCUAGCUACAGGCUUAACACAUGCAAGUCGAGGGGUAGCACGGAGGAAGCUUGCUUCCUUGGGUGACGACCGGCGCACGGGUGAGUAACGCGUAUCCGACCUACCCAUAACUCGGGCACAGCCGCUCGAAAGAGUGAUUGAUUCCCGAUAUGUCAUUGGAGUAGAUUCAAUGAUGAAAGAUUCAUCGGUUAUGGAUGGGGAUGCGUAAGAUUAGGUAGUAGGCGGGGUAACGGCCCACCUAGCCGACGAUCUUUAGGGGUUCUGAGAGGAAGGUCCCCCACACUGGUACUGAGACACGGACCAGACUCCUACGGGAGGCAGCAGUGAGGAAUAUUGGGCAAUGGGGGAAACCCUGACCCAGCAACGCCGCGUGAAGGAAGAAGGCUUUCGGGUUGUAAACUUCUUUUAGUAGGGACGAAGAAAGUGACGGUACCUACAGAAAAAGCAACGGCUAACUACGUG